rnacentral:lncRNA from 1 species
GAUACAGUGUCACCUCCAGUCCACAGGAAAACUCACCGUCGAGCGUCCAGUUGCUUUAACACGCUAGCGGGCAGUGUGAGGGUGCCCAUCAGUGGCGGGCCCACUUAGAUUCAAUGGUAUUCAAUUGAAUACCCAUUAUUUUUGCAAAAACAUUUCAUAUACAUAGUGUAUUUUAGAUAUAUGUAUGAAAAAAACAAAAAUACAGAACCUAGCAUAGACAUUUCACUCAAAAAGGCCCAUCGGAGGCCAACCUCGCUCUCCCUCAACUGGCCCAACUGGCCCAUCCGGCCCAUCCGGCCACUCGACUGCCCCCCACCGGCCCAUCCCCACGCGUGAUCACGCACAUGCCAGAAUCACGCACCACAGCCAGUCUCCAGCCUCCAGGCGCACGAUCC